ACGUAGGUGGCAAGCGUUGUCCGGAUUUAUUGGGCGUAAAGCGAGCGCAGGCGGAAAAAUAAGUCUAAUGUGAAAGCCCUCGGCUUAACCGAGGAACUGCAUCGGAAACUGUUUUUCUUGAGUGCAGAAGAGGAGAGUGGAACUCCAUGUGUAGCGGUGGAAUGCGUAGAUAUAUGGAAGAACACCAGUGGCGAAGGCGGCUCUCUGGUCUGCAACUGACGCUGAGGCUCGAAAGCAUGGGUAGCGAACAGGAUUAGAUACCCUGGUAGUCCAUGCCGUAAACGAUGAGUGCUAAGUGUUGGGAGGUUUCCGCCUCUCAGUGCUGCAGCUAACGCAUUAAGCACUCCGCCUGGGGAGUACGACCGCAAGGUUGAAACUCAAAGGAAUUGACGGGGGCCCGCACAAGCGGUGGAGCAUGUGGUUUAAUUCGACGCAACGCGAAGAACCUUACCAGGUCUUGACAUCUAGUGCAAUCCGUAGAGAUACGGAGUUCCCUUCGGGGACGCUAAGACAGGUGGUGCAUGGCUGUCGUCAGCUCGUGUCGUGAGAUGUUGGGUUAAGUCCCGCAACGAGCGCAACCCUUGCCUUUAGUUGCCAGCAUUAAGUUGGGCACUCUAGAGGGACUGCCAGGGAUAACCUGGAGGAAGGUGGGGAUGACGUCAAAUCAUCAUGCCCCUUAUGCUUAGGGCUACACACGUGCUACAAUGGGUGGUACAGAGGGCAGCCAAGUCGUGAGGCCGAGCUAAUCCCUUAAAGCCAUUCUCAGUUCGGAUUGUAGGCUGAAACUCGCCUACAUGAAGCUGGAGUUACUAGUAAUCGCAGAUCAGAAUGCUGCGGUGAUGCGUUCCCGGGUCUUGUACACACCGCCCGU
rnacentral:rRNA from 1 species